GAUGAACGCUAGCGAUAGGCUUAACACAUGCAAGUCGAGGGGUAACAUGGGAGUAGCUUGCUACUUCUGAUGACGACCGGCGGAUGGGUGAGUAACGCGUGAGGAACCUGCCUCAAAGAGGGGGACAACAGUUGGAAACGACUGCUAAUACCGCAUAAGCCCACAGGUCGGCAUCGACCAGAGGGAAAAGGAGCAAUCCGCUUUGAGAUGGCCUCGCGUCCGAUUAGCUAGUUGGUGAGGUAACGGCCCACCAAGGCGAUGAUCGGUAGCCGGACUGAGAGGUUGAACGGCCACAUUGGGACUGAGACACGGCCCAA
rnacentral:rRNA from 1 species